AGCUAAUGACGAAAAUGAUAAUUGUGGAAUGUUUUAUGACAUUAAGUUAGAAAUGUGUUCAUCAUAUUUUCUAUAAAAUCAAGACGUAAUGAAUAAAUGUCUAGAUGAGGGAUGAUCUUAGUCCUGAACAAAAGUCCUGACCUCUUCAACCCUUUUCUCUAUACAGGAAAUUUCGCCUUAAAUCCAUUUUGCAUCAAGGAUAUUUCGCCUUAAAGUAUAAAUAAAUAAUGAUAUAAUUAUACUACAAAAUUUCCAUACAUACAUACUAUCAAAAUUUGACUAUAAAAUGAGUUCAAACCAGAAGCAAAAUAUUUAGUAAAAUUAGGUUGAUAAGAAAAAUAAAAUUAAUAACAGGUCAACGAUUCGAACGGAAGAAAUGCUAACAACUACUCUGUUAUUAAUUAUCAUAAAGCAUGAUGGAUUAUUCUUACUAAAAUACUCAUGGAUUGGCGAUCAAGCAUAAUAUGAGGCAAGAACAUAAUUCCAUCAUUAUUCCAAA
rnacentral:lncRNA from 1 species